UAGUUUGUGUGGCCGAACUGAAACUACUUUUGUAAAGAAGAGACGCCAGCAAAGACUCUCCUCUUGCUCUUCUUCCCCUUCUCCAUUCUUUUAUAGGGGAGAAGAGUAUCAGGGAGGGAGGAGAAUAAACUGAAAAACCCUAAAAUUCCAUUUGCAAGAAAAGAGGAUCAAAACCCUAAUCGGCCAAAUUCAUGGCCAUGUAUUCUACAGUCCAGGCGUCCCGCCUCCACACUCCCACUUGUCCUCCUCAUCGUUCUCCAUUGUCAAAAGGACACCGUGUUUCUCUCUCUAAACUCUCACGAGCUAAUCUGUCUAUCUACAAAUUUGGGUCAUUCGUUUCUUCUCGCUCUUUGGAGUCCCGGCACCAUGGACCCUGCAGUGUUCGUGCAUUCUCGUCUGAAUUCCUGAACUCUGGCCAAGAAGUCGCCGGGGAUUUCAGCCAUGGAGUUGCAGAGCACAAUGGCGACUCGGAAAAUGGAGAUGCAGAGGAGAGAGAAAGCUCUUUGGUCAAUGAUGGGGCUCUUAUGGAAAGUGGGCCGUUACCACAGAUGGUGCAAUUGCCAGUUGGAGCAUCAGGAAGAGAGAGAGAAGGUGUUGGUAAGUUUCCGGACUUCAUGUUUUUCACUGGUGCGAUGGCUUCUAUGGGGAGGCGGUUAAUGGAUUGGGGGAGUUGGUGGCCAUUUUGGAGGAGAGAGAAACACUUGGAGCGCUUGAUUGCAGAGGCAGAUGCCAACCCUAUGGAUUCUUUCAAGCAGAGCGCAUUGCUAGCCGAACUCAAUAAACACUGUCCCGAAUCAGUUAUAAAACGUUUUGAACGAAGGGAACAUGCAGUAGAUAGCAAGGCCGUUGCAGAAUAUCUUCGUGCUCUGGUUGUCACAGACUCUUUAUCAGAAUAUCUUCCAGAUGAGCGCUCUGGAAAACCUUCAAGUCUUCCUGAACUGUUGCAUGAGUUGAAGCAACGUGCAACAGGAAAUGCAAAUGAGUCCUUUUUGAGCCCUGGCAUAUCUGAGAAGCAACCACUACAUGUAGUUAUGGUGGAUCCAAAAGCAUCGAACAAGUCAACUCGUUUUGCUCAAGAACUCAUCUCAACCAUCCUAUUUACAGUUGUUGUCGGAUUCAUGUGGGUAAUGGGUGCUGCUGCCCUUCAAAAGUAUGUGGGUAGUUUAGGUGGAAUCGGCACGUCUGGUGUUGGCUCAAGUUCUUCGUAUUCUCCAAAGGAAUUGAACAAAGAAGUUAUGCCGGAGAAGAAUGUGAAAACUUUUAAGGAUGUUAAAGGUUGUGACGAUGCCAAACAAGAACUGGAGGAAGUAGUGGAGUAUUUGAAGAACCCUGCAAAGUUUACUCGCCUUGGGGGAAAGUUGCCAAAGGGCAUCCUCUUGACUGGAGCUCCUGGAACCGGUAAAACUCUUCUUGCCAAGGCUAUUGCUGGAGAAGCAGGAGUACCCUUCUUUUAUCGAGCUGGUUCCGAGUUUGAGGAAAUGUUUGUUGGAGUUGGAGCUCGCCGUGUUCGAUCUUUGUUUCAGGCUGCCAAAAAAAAGGCACCUUGCAUUAUUUUUAUUGAUGAAAUCGAUGCUGUGGGCUCUACAAGGAAGCAAUGGGAAGGUCACACAAAGAAAACAUUACAUCAGCUGCUAGUUGAAAUGGAUGGAUUUGAGCAAAAUGAGGGCAUAAUAUUGAUGGCUGCAACUAACUUGCCUGAUAUACUCGAUCCAGCUUUAACAAGGCCUGGGAGAUUUGACAGGCAUAUUGUUGUUCCAAGCCCUGAUGUACGAGGCAGGCAAGAGAUAUUAGAGCUCUACUUGCAAGACAAGCCUUUGGCUGAAGAUGUAGAUGUAAAAGCACUUGCUCGAGGCACACCAGGUUUUAAUGGCGCAGAUUUGGCGAAUUUGGUCAAUAUUGCUGCCAUCAAGGGUGCUGUUGAGGGUGUUGAAAAGUUGACGGCUGCGCAGUUGGAAUUCGCAAAGGACAGAAUUGUUAUGGGUACGGAAAGGAAAACUAUGUUUGUCUCAGAGGAAUCAAAGAAGCUUACUGCAUAUCAUGAGAGUGGUCAUGCAAUUGUCGCAUAUAAUACAGCUGGAGCACAUCCUAUUCAUAAGGCAACGAUCAUGCCACGAGGAUCUGCCCUAGGGAUGGUCACCCAACUUCCUUCAAGUGAUGAAACAUCUAUUAGCAGGAAACAGUUAUUGGCACGACUUGAUGUUUGCAUGGGAGGGAGAGUUGCAGAGGAGCUCAUCUUUGGUCCAGAACAAAUUACAACUGGUGCCAGUAAUGAUAUUCACACAGCUACUGAGCUUGCUCAGUAUAUGGUAUCAACUUGUGGGAUGAGUGAUGCAAUUGGUCCUAUCUAUGUCAAAGAGCGGCCAAGUUCAGAGAUGCAAUCCCGAAUAGAUGCAGAGGUUGUGAAACUCUUGAGAGAUGCCUAUGAACGUGUCAAAGACUUGCUGAAAAAGCAUGAAAAAGCAUUACAUGCCCUGGCCAAUGCUUUGUUAGAAUAUGAGACACUCACAGUUCAAGAUAUCAAAGAGAUACUAGAUCCUUACAAUGUUGGAACACUCACAGAACAGCAGGAGGAGCUUGCCAUCAGUUGAUGCUGUGUCUUGCCUGUAUAAUAUGAUUUAUCAUCUUCAUCUCUGUACAGUACAGGUACAAGCAUAAAUUUAGAAAAGGUGUAACAUUGAUAAUUAUUUUCCCUUAAUCUGGUCGGGAAGCAAUCUCUUUGUAGAAUAACUUGGGAAUCACUGUUAAUGUUCAGAGCCAUGCAUCCUAUAUCUGCAUGAAGGAAGCCUAGGCAAUGCAUGACAGCCUUCGUUCAUUCUAGUUUCUCUUCUAUUUUGAUUUUCUGAUUUGUUUCUUCUUGAAAAUUGCACAAGAGGAGUAUGGUUUAAGUUUCGAUCAGGAUACCGACAUCAAAAUACAAUAACAUGUGCUAAUUCCAGUAUUAGGCAUUGUAGAUUACUCGAGGUCUGGUUUUACCACUGUUAAUGGAUGAAUAUAUUUGCUAUAUAACCUCUCAGCACCAUUUUUCUAUACUCCCUUCUUUGUGGAUGCCAACCAUUACUAGUAGUCAGAAACCCAAGCAAAAGGCAAUUAGUUAUAGGACAGAAUGUUUCAUGACCAUCAACAGAUACUCAUGAUAAAAGAAGUUGCUUCAAGACCAUCUUAUGACACUUCAUGAAACACUUCUUCUUGCCAAGCAA